rnacentral:rRNA from 1 species
AUUGAACGCUGGCGGCAUGCCUUACACAUGCAAGUCGAACGGUAACGGGCCUCCGGGUGCCGACGAGUGGCGAACGGGUGAGUAAUACAUCGGAACGUGCCCGAUCGUGGGGGAUAACGAGGCGAAAGCUUUGCUAAUACCGCAUACGAUCUACGGAUGAAAGCAGGGGACCGCAAGGCCUUGCGCGGACGGAGCGGCCGAUGGCCGAUUAGGUAGUUGGUGGGAUAAAAGCUUACCAAGCCGACGAUCUGUAGCUGGUCUGAGAGGAUGAUCAGCCACACUGGGACUGAGACACGGCCCAGACUCCUACGGGAGGCAGCAGUGGGGAAUUUUGGACAAUGGGCGCAAGCCUGAUCCAGCCAUGCCGCGUGCAGGAUGAAGGCCUUCGGGUUGUAAACUGCUUUUGUACGGAACGAAAAGCCUUCUUUUAAUACAGGAGGGUCAUGACGGUACCGUAAGAAUAAGCACCGGCUAACUACGUG